GGAAUAUUGCACAAUGGGGGAAACCCUGAUGCAGCCAUGCCGCGUGUGUGAAGAAGGCCUUCGGGUUGUAAAGCACUUUCAGUAGGGAGGAAAGGGUGUAACUUAAUACGUUAUAUCUGUGACGUUACCUACAGAAGAAGGACCGGCUAACUCCGUGCCAGCAGCCGCGGUAAUACGGAGGGUCCGAGCGUUAAUCGGAAUUACUGGGCGUAAAGCGUGCGCAGGCGGUUUGUUAAGCGAGAUGUGAAAGCCCUGGGCUCAACCUAGGAAUAGCAUUUCGAACUGGCGAACUAGAGUCUUGUAGAGGGGGGUAGAAUUCCAGGUGUAGCGGUGAAAUGCGUAGAGAUCUGGAGGAAUACCGGUGGCGAAGGCGGCCCCCUGGACAAAGACUGACGCUCAUGCACGAAAGCGUGGGGAGCAAACAGGAUUAGAUACCCUGG
rnacentral:rRNA from 1 species